rnacentral:rRNA from 1 species
ACUCAAAGGAAUUGACGGGGACCCGCACAAGCGGUGGAACAUGUGGUUUAAUUCGAGGCAACGCGAAGAACCUUAUCCAGGACUUGACAUGCUCUCUAUGGAUUGCUGAAAGGCAAUCCUUCACUUCGGGUGGGAGAUGCACAGGUGCUGCAUGGCUGUCGUCAGCUCGUGUCGUGAGAUGUUGGGUUAAGUCCCGCAACGAGCGCAACCCUCACCCUCUGUUGCUAACAGGUAAUGCUGAGAACUCUGAGGGAACUGCCGGUGAUAAGCCGGAGGAAGGUGGGGAUGACGUCAAGUCCUCAUGGCCCUUACGUCCUGGGCUACACACGUGUUACAAUGGUGAUGACAAAGGGCAGCUACUGCGCGAGCAGGUGCGAAUCCCAAAAAGUCACCUCAGUUCGGAUUGUACUCUGCAACUCGAGUACAUGAAGCUGGAAUCGCUAGUAAUCGCGCAUCAGCUCGGCGCGGUGAAUACGUUCCCGGGUCUUGCACACACCGCCCGU